GGGAAGGGGGGCUGGUGGGGGCCUAUACAUGCAAGUCGAACGAGUUCUCGUUGAUGAUCGGUGCUUGCACCGAGAUUCAACAUGGAACGAGUGGCGGACGGGUGAGUAACACGUGGGUAACCUGCCCUUAAGUGGGGGAUAACAUUUGGAAACAGAUGCUAAUACCGCAUAGAUCCAAGAACCGCAUGGUUCUUGGCUGAAAGAUGGCGUAAGCUAUCGCUUUUGGAUGGACCCGCGGCGUAUUAGCUAGUUGGUGAGGUAAUGGCUCACCAAGGCGAUGAUACGUAGCCGAACUGAGAGGUUGAUCGGCCACAUUGGGACUGAGACACGGCCCAAACUCCUACGGGAGGCAGCAGUAGGGAAUCUUCCACAAUGGACGCAAGUCUGAUGGAGCAACGCCGCGUGAGUGAAGAAGGCUUUCGGGUCGUAAAACUCUGUUGUUGGAGAAGAAUGGUCGGCAGAGUAACUGUUGUCGGCGUGACGGUAUCCAACCAGAAAGCCACGGCUAACUACGUGCCAGCAGCCGCGGUAAUACGUAGGUGGCAAGCGUUAUCCGGAUUUAUUGGGCGUAAAGCGAGCGCAGGCGGUUUUUUAAGUCUGAUGUGAAAGCCCUCGGCUUAACCGAGGAAGCGCAUCGGAAACUGGGAAACUUGAGUGCAGAAGAGGACAGUGGAACUCCAUGUGUAGCGGUGAAAUGCGUAGAUAUAUGGAAGAACACCAGUGGCGAAGGCGGCUGUCUGGUCUGUAACUGACGCUGAGGCUCGAAAGCAUGGGUAGCGAACAGGAUUAGAUACCCUGGUAGUCCAUGCCGUAAACGAUGAAUGCUAGGUGUUGGAGGGUUUCCGCCCUUCAGUGCCGCAGCUAACGCAUUAAGCAUUCCGCCUGGGGAGUACGACCGCAAGGUUGAAACUCAAAGGAAUUGACGGGGGCCCGCACAAGCGGUGGAGCAUGUGGUUUAAUUCGAAGCAACGCGAAGAACCUUACCAGGUCUUGACAUCUUUUGAUCACCUGAGAGAUCAGGUUUCCCCUUCGGGGGCAAAAUGACAGGUGGUGCAUGGUUGUCGUCAGCUCGUGUCGUGAGAUGUUGGGUUAAGUCCCGCAACGAGCGCAACCCUUAUGACUAGUUGCCAGCAUUUAGUUGGGCACUCUAGUAAGACUGCCGGUGACAAACCGGAGGAAGGUGGGGAUGACGUCAAAUCAUCAUGCCCCUUAUGACCUGGGCUACACACGUGCUACAAUGGAUGGUACAACGAGUUGCGAGACCGCGAGGUCAAGCUAAUCUCUUAAAGCCAUUCUCAGUUCGGACUGUAGGCUGCAACUCGCCUACACGAAGUCGGAAUCGCUAGUAAUCGCGGAUCAGCACGCCGCGGUGAAUACGUUCCCGGGCCUUGUACACACCGCCCGUCACACCAUGAGAGUUUGUAACACCCGAAGCCGGUGGCGUAACCCUUUUAGGGAGCGAGCCGUCUCAGGGUGGAGCACUUUCCGGGCCGGGC
rnacentral:rRNA from 1 species